GUGCCAGCCGCCGCGGUAAUACCGGCAGUCCAAGUGAUGGCCGAUAUUAUUGGGCCUAAAGCGUCCGUAGCUUGCUGUGUAAGUCCAUUGGGAAAUCGACCAGCUCAACUGGUCGACGUCCGGUGGAAACUACAUAGCUUGGGGCCGAGAGACUUGACGGGUACGUCCGGGGUAGGAGUGAAAUCCUAUAAUCCUGGACGGACCGCCAAUGGGGAAACCACGUCAAGAGACCGGACCCGACAGUGAGGGACGAAAGCCAGGGUCUCGAACCGGAUUAGAUACCCUAGUAGUCC
rnacentral:rRNA from 1 species